GCCUGCUUCAGUAGUGCACAUACUAAAAUUGAAACAAUACAGAGAUUACCAUGGCCCCAGUGUAAAGACACUCAAAUUUGCAAAGCGUUCUUUUUUUGU
rnacentral:snRNA from 1 species